UACGUAGGGUGCGAGCGUUGUCCGGAAUUAUUGGGCGUAAAGCGCGUGUAGGCGGCGUGACAAGUCGGGUGUGAAAGCCCUCAGCUCAACUGAGGAAGUGCGCCCGAAACUGUCGUGCUUGAGUGUCGGAGAGGGUAGCGGAAUUCCCCCAAGUAGAGGUGAAAAUUCGUAGAUAUGGGGGAGGAACACCGGUGGCGAAGGCGGCUACCUGGACGACUACUGACGCUGAGACGCGAAAGCGUGGGGAGCAAACAGG
rnacentral:rRNA from 1 species